CCUUAUCUCUCCCUCUCAAGGAGCUUAUUUAAGUGCUGGAAUGUGUCGCGAUGGUAAACGAUUGUUAAAAUCCUAAUGAGGUACAUGAACCUAAGGACAGGUCCUGCUGGGAGGGAGCACCUCGUCAGAAAGGAGACCCACGGGGCUACAGGAUCUCAGGCCUUUUUUGUAUUGUAUCUCUCCACAGACGCAUCUCUUACAGUGUAAAAUGUUUAAAGCCCAAAGCCUGAGCUCCUCGCCAGGCCGUGGUUAAUGCUGCAGGCUGCUCCGGGCUACGUGAGGUUCGCUGUGUUCCUCUGAUACGGUUUUAUCAGUGUCUGUGCUCAGUACUCGGCCUGGCCUCGCAGCGAGGGUUCACACGUGGUAUCUGCACGGCACCGCACGUAUUCCCGCUCGCCCUUUCAUCUGGGCUCAAUGCAGGCAGCAGCGAGAUGCUAACACAUCCAUAAAGGGCACAGAGAGGGAGUGAUGGGGCCCCUCGGUGUGCAAGGUGCACGCUGCUACCAUGGGCUGCUGCAUCGGAAAGUUAAUCUGUUCCACCUUGCCGACUACUUUUCCGUAGCCAUGCAAAAGGAAUCGCCAUCCCAGAGCAGACCUCGGCCUGUCCGUGUUGCUUCAACAGAAGUGACCCUGUGGCAGCCAGGAUGGGACAAGACGCUUUCUGGGACAUCUGACCAGUGAGAGCUGCCCCAUAACCUGCAGCUUUUUAUCCCUUGCAAAACUCUUGCAAUUAGGCACUGCGAAGUGCAUGUCUGCAAGAUCCUCCGAAUGCUCCUGGCAUCUUACAAGGCCCUUGGCUCCAUCCCUUUGGGCGGCACCAGGAUACCAGCCCCUGGCACAGCCUGAUUUGGGGCUGCAGCGAUGAUCCUGCAGGGAGGCAGGACUGCCAGUGAAGCCCACGUGCUCAUUUAUUUCCUCACGAUGCGAUCUGAUUAUGCUGACGGGGAAUUGGGCUUCCAGAGCUGCUAUAUCCUGACGUAGCUCCUGGGGCUCAGCAAGGAGCCAGUGACCGAACGUGUCCUAGCGGCUGAGUGUCCCUCUCUUGCGGUGUUUUGGACCAUCAGGACGGGGCUGGGCAGCCCUGCAGGCAGCGCGAUGCUCGAGGGCACCCAGCUCCGACUGCAGCCCCCACCCAGCUUCACAGUUGUCCCCGUCAAUGUAAAAAAUCAGGAAUGGGGAGGGGGGGGUGAGGGAUCCAUCUGAGCCGCUUGGCGUCUGUGUCUUGUGAUCCUGAAACCCAAGAGCCCCCCCUGACUCAGCAGGUUAUUAAUAACCCCCUGGCUGUGCUCCCGCCGCAGCGCCUGCCAGCCCUGGCAUCACCUGUCUCCUCCGCAGCCAGGCGAGACGCGCACCCCGGGCAAGGUCAGGGGCUCCUUCCUGAUGGCCCCCACGCCCCAUCCCCACCCACAGGGCCAGGCAGAGGUGGUGCGAGGCUCCUGGCCAGCCCCUGAGGCCCCCGUGCCUCCUGCCAGCACAGGAGAGGCUCCUGGUGCUGCUGAAAUUAGCCUUGUCGCGCCCCUGUCCCGGGUCCCCUGUUCCCUUGUACCUAAAAUCAGCCCAGGCGCUGGGUUUCCUGGACCACAGCAUCAGUGUUGCUGCCUGCCUGCCCCCUCCCCAGGCUAGGAUAUGUGGGGUGGCCCCGCUGCUGCAGACCCCAGUGGUGCCCAGUCCCUGUGCCCAUUUGGAAGGGCUGGGGUCUGCCCGGACCUCCUUGGUCGCAGACUUCUUUUUUGCCCACUCUUCUUGCCAAGGCUGCGAGGGCAAAGGAGAGGAGCUGCAGAGCCCUCGGGGACCCUCCAGGUAGGUGUGGGAUGUAGGGGAAAGAGUGACACACUCAGCAAAACCGUGGUGAUGACGCAGUCUGGGUUUGGGCAAUUCCAACUGGAGCACAUCAGGACCUUCUUGGCUCCCCAUGCACCAGGGGGUCCCCAAGCAAGGGGUCGCUGACAGCCUUGGGAUGCAUAGAGCAGAAAUGCUCGAGCCUCCUCCUGCACCGGAGGGCAGCAGCGCACCCACAUCCCCCCACACCAUGCAAACUGGCCCCAGGGGUCUCAGCAGAGCUGCGGGGUGAUUUGGGGUGAGGGUGAGCCAGGUGGUGUUUACCGCAGCUGGUGCUCAUUAGCCAGGUUCAUUAGCACUCCCUGGGCAGGUUUUAAAUUGGCAAGUGGGAGCCACCUUCAGGCCUGGGGCAGCCCUGGGUGCAGCUGGAGCCCUGGUUCCUUCCCCUGAUCGCUUCCUUCCCUCCUGCUCUGCUUCCCCCUUCUCUGCUCACAGGCCCCAUGUGCUGCAGCUGCUGGGAACCCGCUCUGCAAUGCCCUGACGGAGAGGCUGAGGUGUUGCUCUUGCUGCCAUAAAUCCCCCGGCACUCGGAACAGCGUCUCGGACCCUUCCAACCUCCCUAUCUCCCCCUGCAGAGGCUGUGUCCUUCCCAGCCCAGUGGCUUGUGGCAGAGCUGGGCUCUUUGCUGGGCCCUGGAGGAGAUCCCAGGGCCCUGCUGGGAGGAACGGCUCCAUCCAUGGCUUAUUUUCCUCCUGGCCUCGUCCCUCUCCCCCAUCCUUAGUCCUCCUCCUUUGCUCUCCUGUGAGCCCAGCAGGCAGACUUGUCCCUGCCUUGACGGAGACCAGAGCUGGGGAAGGAGGCAGCACAAAUUUCCCCUUGUUUCCCUGGCUGCAUCAGCACCUCAGCUCCACUUUAUGUCCUGAGCAAGGGUGUUUGGGCUCUCCAUCGCUAUUGUGGCCGUUUCCAUCCUGCUGUGCCCCUUGGCAGGACCAGAUGGCGAAAAGAAAGGGACUGCUCUGCAACACGGAUUUAGUUCAGCAGUGCGACCCCUUCCCUUCUCUCCCUACUGCUCUUUUACCCCCUCCACCUCCCUCAUUUCCCUCCCAGGGCUCUAUCCCUCCUUUCCCAUCCCCUCCACCUUUCUCCCCCUUAUUUCCCCACCUCCUCUCCCCCUACACCCACCCCACAUCCCGGCCCAGCAGCGGAUGAAGGAUUUAGGUCUCCCGCAGCAGGACCACCACUUAUCGCCUUGAUCUCCACCCCGGGGACAGUCGGCAGCCAGCAUUCACUCACUAAGAACGGCGUAGGUCUGCAGACUUUAAAAGGACAAACAAUAGUCUGGCAAACGGAAAUGCUUCGAUGGCAUCUUGUUCUCAUGCAGAGCCUGCGGGUUCCCAUAGGCCACAAAGGAAUAAAGAAGAGGUACUUCUUCAGCAGCUACAGGAGCAAGAGCCACUCACCUGUGAGAGCUAGGGGAAAAAGAAAAAAAAAAAAGGCAAAUAAGACUGGCUGGGGCGCCCGGCCCCUCCUGCAGUAGGAAGGAACUGGAGUCAGUGGGUCUGUCCUGCCUCUGUGGUGAGAUUUGAUGGGGAAAAAGAAUGGGAGCUGGGGGCAGACAGAGGGGACCCCUAGGCCUGGGGGUGGCCAGAGCUACUCUGGAUGCCUCUAGGGAGGGGAUGUGGGUGCUGGCACGCCGAGAGAGCCGCCACCUGCCUUUGUGAGAGCAGGAGAGGAGCAGCCGGCCUGGCUGCAUAAUGCACAGGAGAUGGGCAGUGAUUGCAUCCCACCUGGGCACCCAGACUGCUGCCCUUCCACGCAGAGCUGGCCAGGGAAAGGAAGGAGAGCGUGCAGCUGGGGAUGUCAGAACCAGAUGACACUCUAAGGGAAAGAGGAUUUUGGGUAGCUGUGAGGAUUGUUUUUCUUUGGAUCUGGAAAAGACAAGUCGUGUUUGACCGGAGGAUUUCUCUGUUGCAGUUAUUGAUGGGAUAGAGCAAGCUGGGGAGGAAAAAAAAAAGGUUCUUUUCAGUGAAAACAGUGAAGUUCUGACAUCCCUUCUUUGAUACACAAUGAAAACUUGACAUUUAGUGUUGUUUUUUUUUAUUUCCAGAAACACCAGCAAGAACACAUUUUCCCAAUGGUUGGAGCUACUCAGGUAGAAUAUUGAAGACCUUGAUUAAAGUCUGUGGUUUACUUUUUUCUUUUAUAUUUUCCCCUCCAUAGGGCAUGUU